UUUUUUUUUUUUUUUUUUUUUAAGAUUUAUUUAUUCAGAGAGCGCGCGAGAGAGGCAGAGACAAAGGCAGAGGGAGAAGCAGGCAUCACACAGAGAGCCUGAUGUGGGAGACUCGAUCCAGGGUCUCCAGGAUCACACCCCGGGCUGCAGACGGCGCUAAAGCGCUGCGCCACUGGGGCUGCCUCUUAAUUUGUUUUCUUAAUGUCAAUUUGUAAAUGUCACUUGAAUCACAGAUAGCUUUCUAAAUAUAUUUUUCUAUUUUAGCCUGAAAAUGUUAAGAUUUCAUAUCAUUAAAUGUGCUGCCACUUAUUUCAUAAUUUCCAAGUUUCCAAUCUUGUUUAAAAAGAUCUCCCUGGUUUGUGGGGGGUGAAGGGGGGGGGGUAUGAAUCCCUAUAGAAAUCGGUAUGGAGAACGAAAGGGACCAAAUUUCAUUACUUCUGACAAGUUGGGCUUAAAGCAUGGAGUUCUAAAGGUCAGUGGGCUUGGCUCAAAUACAGCCAGGACACACUGAACUGCUCUCAGAAAGAAGACAAGCAAAAAAAAAAAAAAAAAAAAAAAAAAAAAAAAAGAAAGAAGACAAGCAAACAGUCCAUGGACAUAAAGACUGAAAAAGCAACCUGAGGAGUACCUGGGGCACACAGUGGGAAGAUUAUUUGCUCAUCUUGGAGCAUGUAUCAGAGAGACAGCAUUCACAGAGAGAUCUCCAGGAACAAAGGAACUAGAAGGCCCCAUUUCCCUCCCCCACCCUCAGCAUAAGCAGCAGUCACCUACAGGAACCAGAGCAGCUCCUACACUUGGUACCUAACUUGCUUACACCAAGCCCUGCCCCUCUCCAUGCACAGUGAAACCAUCCUUCCCAGUCACACUCACCUCAGUCCCAGCAGAGCAGGUCCUCCUCCCCUCAGAAGGCAUAGGUGACUUACCUAACACAGAGAAACAGGCACAGGAACUCAGAAAAAAAAUGAGAAGACAGAGAAAUUUAUUCCAAAUGAAAGAACAGGACAAGGCCAUGACCAGAGAUCUAAACAGAACAGAUAUAAGUAACAUGUCUGAUGGAAUAUUUAAAGCAAUGAUCAUAGGGAUAUUCACUGGACUUCAGGAAAGAGUGGAAGACAUCAGUGAAAACCUUAACAAAAGUUUAAAAAAAAAAAACCCAUCAGAGAGUUAAAAAAAAAAAAAAAAACUCAGAGAUGAAGAGUGGAAACACACUUGAUGCGGUGAACAGCAGGCUGGAAGAAGCAGAGUGAUGAAUUAAUGACCUAGAAGACAGAGUAUUGGAAAGUAAUCAAGUUCAACAACACACACGCACGCACACACAAAAUAAGGACUUAGGAAACUUGGUGACUCCAUCAAAUGUACUAACAUUCAUAUUAUAGGGAAUCCCAGAAGAAAGAAAGGAGCAAAAAAUUUGAAGAAAUAGCUGAAAACCUCCAUAAUCUGGGAAAGGAAAUAGAAAUACAAAUACAGGAGGCAUAAAGAACCCCCAACAAAAUCAACAAAAGCAGAUCCACACUAUGACAUACUGUAAUUAAACUGGCAAAAUACUGUGAUGAAGAAAAAAAAUUUAAAGCAGAAAGACAAAAGACAAUAACCUACAAGGGAAACCUCAUAAGGCAAUCAGAGAAUUUUCCAGCAGAAACUUACCAAGCCAGAGAGAAUGGCAUGAUAUAUUCAGAGUGCUGAAUGGGAAACUGCAGCCAAAAAUACUCUAUCCAGCAAGGCUAGCAUUAAGAAUGGAAUGAAAAACAUAGAGUUUCCCAAACAAAAACAGUUCAUGACCACUAAACUAGCCCUCCAAGAAAGAUUCUGACUGAAAAGGAGAGAUCAAAAUAACCGAAUGUGGGUGGGAAACACAAAAGCAGUAAAAAUGAAUAUUUAUGUAAAAAAAUCAGUCAAGGAACUUACAAAAUAAAAAGCCAUAAAAUAUAAAAACAUAUACCUAAAAUGUGCAGAGGAGUAAAAAAUGGGCUCAAAUGUAAACAAACAACUUAAUACAGACUGCUAUAUGCAUCAGAUCCUAUAUAACAAACCUAAUGGUAAUCACGUUUCAAAAAUCAUUAAUAAAUAUGCACAGAAUUGGGGUCCCUGAAUGGCUCAGCGGUUUAGUGCCUGCCUUCGGCCCAGGGCGUGAUCCUGGAGUCCCAGGAUUGAGUCCCACAUUGGGCUCCCUGCAUGGAGCCUGCUUCUCCCUCUGCCUGUGUCUCUGCCUCUCUAUCAUGAAUAAAUAAAUAAAAUAUUAAAAAUAAAUAAAUAAAUAUGCACAGAAUAAAGAGAAAGACACCCAAAUAUAAUUCUAAAGAAAAUCAGCAAAUCAUGAAAGAAAGACAAGGAUCAAAGAAAGUGUGCAGAAACAACCAAAACAAAAUGACAAUACAUACCUAUCAACAACUACUUUGAAUGUACAUGGACUAAAUGCUCCAAACAAAAGACAUACAAUCACAGAAUAGAUUUAAAAAGAGAGAGACAGAAGAAGACCUAUCUUCUCUCUACAAGAGAUUCAUUUUAGAUGUAAAGACAACUGCAGAUUUAAAGUGAGGAGAUAGAGAAAUAUUUAUCAUGCAAACAGAUGUCAAAAUAAAGCCAGGGUAGCAAUACUCACAUUGGACAAAACAGACUUUAAAACAACAAUUUAACAAAAGACAAAGGAAAACCCUAUAUAAUAAUAAAGAUGAAAACAAUCCAACAAGAACUAACAAUUAUAAAUAUUUUUGCACCCAACGCAGGAGCACCCAAAUACAUAAAACAGUUAGUAACAUACAUUAAGGAAUUAUUCCAUAAUAAUAGUAGGGGAUUUUAACACCCCCACUUAGAUCAAUGGAUAGAUAAUCUGAACAUAAAAUCAACAAGAAAGCAAUAGCUUUGAAAGACACACUGGAACAGAUGGAUUUAACUCCCACCAAACAAAUGUCCAGGACCAGAUGGCUUCAGAGGCAAAUUCUAUCAAACAUGUAUAGGAGAGUUAAUACCUACUCUUCCCAAACUAUUCCCCCUCCUCAAAAAAAGGGGGGGAAACUUCCAAAUAUAUUCUAUGAGGUCAGCAUUACCCCAAUACCAAAACCAGAUAAAGACACCACACACACACAAAACAAACUACAAGCCAUUAUCUGAUGAACACAGAUGCAAAAAUCCUCAACAAAAUACCAACAAACCGAAUCCAAAAAUACAUUUAAAAAAUUCACACAAUCAAGUGGGAUUUAGUCCCAGGUUGCAAGGGUAGUCCAAUUUUCACAAACCAAUUGGAUAUAUUCUAUCAGUAAGAACCAAAUAAUCAUUUCAAUAGAUACAAAAGCAUUUAACAAAGUACAGCAUCCAUACAUGAUGAAAAUUCUCAACAAAGCAAAUUGAGAUAAACCAUACCUCAACAUAAUAAAGGCCAUACAUGAAAACCCUACAGCAAGUAUCAUCCUUAAUUGGAAAAAAUUGAGAGCUUUUCCCCUAAGGUCAAGGACAAAACAAGGAUGUCCAUUCUCACCACUCUUCAACACAGUACUGGAAGACCUACCCACAGUAAUUAGACAACAAAAAGAAAUAAAACAUACCCAAAUCAGGCAGGAAGAAGUAAAACUUUCACUAUUGCAAAUGAUAGGAUACUCUAUAGAGAAAACCCAAAAGCCUCUACCAAAAAUCUGCUAGAACUGAAAAAUGAAUCCAGUAAACUCACAGGAAAAUCAAUCUAAAGAAAUCUUUUUCAUUUGUAUAUGCCAAUAACAAAACAGUAGAAAGAGGGCGGCCUGGGUGGCUCAGCAAUUUAGUGCCGCCUUCAGGCUGGGGCCUGAUCCCGGAGACUCGGGAUCGAGUCCCACGUUGGGCUCCCUGCAUGGAGCCUGCUUCUCCCUCUGCCUGUGUCUCUGCCUCUCUCUCUGUGUCUCUCAUUAAUAAAUAAAUAAAUAAAUAAAUAAAUAAAUAAACAAACAAACAAACUUAAAAAGAAAAAAGUAGAAAGAGAAAUAAAGCAGUACGUUUUACAAUUGCACCAAAAAUAAUAAAAUAGCUAGGGAUAAACCUAACCAAAGUAGCAAAAGACCUAUAACCUCUAAAAACUAGGUACAGUGACAAAAGAAAUUAAAAACAACACAAAAGAAAUGAAAAGACAUCCCAUGCUCAUGGACUGGAAGAACAAAUAUUGUUAAAAUAUCUACACUAGGGACACCUGGGUGGCUCAGCGGUUAAGCAUCUGCCUUCGGCUUAGGGUGUGAUCCCUGAGUCCCAGGAUUGAGUCCCACAUCAGGCUCUCUGCAUGAAGCUUGCUUUCCCUCUGCCUAUGUCUCUGCCUCUGUCUCUCAGAGACAAACAAACAAACAAAUAAAUAAAUCUUCCAAUGGGAAAGAGACAGUCUCUUCAAAAAAUGGUGUUGGGAAAACUGGACAGCAGUAUGCAAAAGAAUGCAACUGGACCACUUUCUUACAUCAUACACAAAAACUCAAAAUGGAUGAAAGGCCUAAAUGUGAGGCUUGAAACCAUUAAAAAAAUCCUAAAAAGAGAAUACAGGCAGUAACUUGUUUGGCAUUGGCUAUAGCAAUUUUUUUCUAGAUCUGUUUCCUAGCGCAAGGGAAAUAAAAGCAAAAAAUAAACUAUUUGGACUACAUCAUAAUAAAAACCUUCUGCACAGAAAAGGAAACAAUAAAACAAAAAAGCAACCUACUGAAUGGGAGAAGAAAUUUGCAAAUGACAAAUCUAAUAAAUAGUAUCCAAAAUAUAUAAUGAACUUAUAUAACUCAACAUCAAAAAAAUAAACAAUCCAAAAAAAAAAUAAAAAAAAAAUAAAUAAACAAUCCAAGCAAAAAAUAGGCAGAAGACACGAUCAGACAUUUCUUCAAAGAACACAUCCAGAUGGCCAUAACACGUGAAAAGAUGCUCAUCAUCACCACUGGAAAAACACAAAUCAAAACUACAGUACGGGGAUCCCUGGGUGGCGCAGCGGUUUGGCGCCUGCCUUUGGCCCAGGGCGCGAUCCUGGAGACCCGGGAUCGAAUCCCACAUCGGGCUCCCGGUGCAUGGAGCCUGCUUCUCCCUCUGCCUGUGUCUCUGCCUCUCUCUCUCUCUGUGUGACUGUCAUAAAUAAAUAAAAAAAUAUUAAAAAAAAAAAAAACUACAGUACGAUACCACCUCUCACCUGUCACAGGGCUAAAACAAAAAACACAAGAGACAACAGGUAUUGGCAAGGAUGUGGAGAAAAAGGAACCCUCUUGCACUGUUGGUGGGAAUUCAAACUGGUGCAGCCAUUGUGGAAAACCACAUAGAAGGUCCUUAGUAGUUAAAAAUAGAACUACCUUAUAAUACAGUAAUCACACUCGUGGAUAUGUACCAAAGAAUACAAAAAAAACCCCACUAACUCAAAGGGAUACAUGCACCCCUAUGUUUACUGCAAUAUGUAUAAUAGCCAAAUUCUAGAAACAGCCCAAGUGUCCAUCAAUUCAUGAAGCAGUUAUAUACAUAAUGAAAUAUUAUUCAGCCAUAAAAAAAGAAUUAAAUCCUGUCAUUUGCAACAAAAAGUAUAAUGCUAAGCAAAAGAGGCAAAUACCAUAUGAUUUCACUCAUAUGGUGAAUUUAAGAAACAAAACAAAUGAGCAAAAAGGGGAAAAAAAAAGGGAGAAAGGCAAUCCAAGACACAGACACAUAACAUUAGAGAAAUAAUGGUUACCAGAAGGGAGGUGGAAGGUGGGUUAAAUAGGCAAUGCAGAUUAAGACAUGCACUGCUGCAAUGAGCACUAGGUGAUAUAUGCAUCCUUGUACUGUACAUCUAACCCUAACAGAAUACUGUGUUAACUGGAAUUUUAAAAAAUAAAAAGAUCUCCCUAUUUUAUCCUACUUCAUACAUAGGUCUCUGAGAUCAUCCCAUAUAACUGCUGUCUUUUAACAUGUAAUUUUUCAAUCUAGAAUUUGCUCAUAAGAUUUUUAAAAUAUUUUUAAGUACCUAAUUUGAUUUUCUUCCAGAUGGGUGGUUAUACCACCAUCACUGAUAUAUACUACAUUUUCAUGUAUGCUUCUAUCUAAACCUGUCUUCCUUUGACCUGUUUUUUACUAUUCCAGCACUAAAACUAUACAGAUAAAGUACAUGCUUUUAUACAAAAAUGGCAAACUCUUCUUCAAUCCUUUUGAUUCUGUUCUUGACCAUGUUUCAGGCAUUUAUUCUUUCACAUAUACUUUAAAAUCAUUUUGAUCAAAUCUAUACUUAAAGGUGUAUGCAAGUUUUCCACUUCCUAAAGGUUGAUUCUGAUCAUUUCUAAUCAGCCAGAAAAUGAUUCCUCUUAAUUUUGAAAUCUUUAAUCUGUGAUUUUGUUACAAUAAACUUGUAGUACUCUUUUCUUACAAUUAAGACUCUUCUGUGUAUGUGACUGCAUCUUUUUUGUUUCCACUACUACUUUUAUUCUUUUUUCAUCAGUAUCAUGAAGGAGAUCUUCAUUUUGUUAGUCUUCUCAAAGAACUGGGAUUUAGAUUUAUGUAUCUUUUCUACUUUGUGUUUUCCAUUAAUUUCACCUUUUAACUAUUAAUUCCUUCUUAUAGGUUUAUUUCAGUUUAUAGGUAUCCUAAAUGCUUAGAAUUGGAUAUAAAGCACAGGACUUGAAUAUACAUUUCUCCAGAUAAACUCACUAAGCACAUAAAAAUAUGUUCAACAUCAUCAAAUCAUUAGGAAACUGGAAAUCACAGCUAUAAUGAGAUAGUAUAUCUCAAAACUCUUAGGAUGGCUACCAUCAAAAGUAUUGGCCAGGAUGUGGAGAAAUUGGAGUGCUUGUGUACUACUGGAGGGAAUGUAAAAUGGUACAGCACAUAUAGAAAACAGAAUGGUGAGCAACUCCAGUGCCUUAGCGGUUUAGCGCCGCUUUCAGCCAAGGGCGUGAUCCUGGAGACCCAGGAUCAAGUCCCGCAUCCGGCUCCCUGCAUGGAGCCUGCUUCUCCCUCUGCCUGUCUGUCUCUCUCCUUGUUUCUCUCUCUCUCUCUCUCUCUCUGGCUCUGGCUCUAAUAAAUAAAAUCUUAAAUUCAAAAAAAGAAAAAACGGUGAUUCCUCAAAAAAUUAAAAAUAGGAUUUUAAUACUCCCAACAAUGUCACCGCUGGAAUUUUAAAAAUUCCAGAAAAGAACUAAAGGCAGGAUCUUAAAGAGAUAUUUGUACACUCAUAUUCUUAGUAGUAUUCACAAUAGCCACAAUCCAAGUACUCAUCAAGGGAUAAAAGGAUAAACAAAUGUCAGGGGAGGGUGUAUGUCUAAAACAUUUAAUGAAAUAUUCCAUCUUAAAAAGAAAUUCUUAAAAAAAUAAUAAUAAAUUCCAGGGGCACCUGGGUGGCUCAGUUGGUUAAGCGUCUACCUUCACCUCAGGUCAAGAUCCCAGGGUUCUGGGAUUGAGCCCCACACAGGGCUCCCUGAUUAGCAGGAAGUCAGCUUGCCCCCACUCCCCGAUUUGUGCUCUCUCUCAAAAUCUUUUUUAAAAUAUUCCGAAAUAUGAUACUACAUUGAUGAACCUUGAGAACAUUAUACUAAAUGAAAUAAGCUAGAUGUAGUAAGAUGAUCCCACCUAAAUGAGGUACUUUGCGUAGUCGAGUUCAGAGACUGAAAAGUAAAUGGUGGCUGCAAGAGGCUGGGGGAGAUAAAAGGAGUUCUAGAAAUUGAUUGCACAAUGUGAAUGUACUUAACACUACUGAACAGUACACUAAAAAAUGGUCAAGAUGGUAAAACUUAUGGCAUGUGUAUCUUACAAUUUCUUUUAAAAAAUUUUUUCGUGGUUAAGUUCUUCUUUCUAGUCAUUUUGCUCAGUGCAGAGUGACUAAAAACGAGUUGUACUUGUUAGAAGCUCAAACUCUUCUCUCUGUAGCAUUCCAGCUGUUCUCUCUUUAAAUCUCAGGUCGAGGGCAGCCCAGGUGGCUCAGCGGUUUAGUGCCGCCUUGAACCCAGGGCCUGAUCCUGGACCUAGGAUCGAGUCCCACGUCAGGCUCCCUGCAUGCACCUGCUUCUCCCUCUGCCUGUGUCUCUGUGUCUCUCUCUCUCUGUGUCUCUUGUGAAUAAAUAAAAUCUUUACAAAAAAUAAAUUAAUAAAUCUCAGGUCAAAUUCAUAAGUUUUCAGGAUGAUUUGAAAGUUAUCUAGGUAAGUUGGUAGGGACAGAUGACUUGGGGACCCUACUCCUCCUCUGCCAUCUUACCCCGCCCCUUACUAAAAAAUUUUUUUCAAUUGCUAAAAAUCUUUUCAAUUGAAUAUGCAGGUAUGGAGAAUUUUUUAAAUUUGUUUUAAUACUGAAUACAUUUAAUUCUAUAGAUUUUUUCCCUUACAUAUAGUUUGCAUUGUGCUCUAUAGGCUUUGGUAGGCAGUGUUCUUUGACCGAAAUUCAUUAAAAUUCACACACAUUUCUAAUUCUUUUGUUGAGAGAGUGAUCUGGUAACUACCCAUCUUCACCACCAUAUCCUCCUUCAUAAAUGCAAGAUUUUACCAAUUCAUAAUGUUUGCUAUAAUAAUGCUGAGUGCUUUCAACCAAAGUUUCAACUAACCUGAUAUCAAUAUUGCCAUUCCUCUUUUGAUCUUUGUAUGGUAUCUUCUUGCACAUCUCUUUAUUUCCAUCUUUAACAAUUGGGUUUAAGUGUUACUUAUAGGGAGGCGGGGCAAGAUGGUGGAGGAGUAGGGGUCCUUAACUCACCCAGCCCCACCAACUUACCUAGAUAACUUUCAAACCAUCCUGAACACCUACGAAUUUGACCUGAGAUUUAAAGAGAGAACAGCUGGAACACUACAGAGAGAAAGGUUUUUGCUUCUAACAAGGUAGGAAGGGGGGGGGGGGGAUGUUAAAGGAUCAAGUGGGGGAGAGGGCCCCUGAGGAGCCAUGCUAAGGCUGGGCAGUGAAAGCCUCUGGGACAGGAAAGCCCAGCCUCGGAGAGCAGAACUUUAAAAAUCCACACUGGAUUCUUCCCAGACAGGCUAACUAAGCAGGGAAAUUGAGCAGAAUCACAGGAGGGGCAGUGGAGUCUCCAGUCUCCUGGAGUCACUAACAGAGGAAGUGCACACCCCAGGGGAGAGUGCACCACAGACUGUGGGCCCAAAGGGGUAAAGGGCUGGAGCACUCACCUGGCAGGGCCUCAGGGAGAAGCCAGUGGGUUAGGCGGCAGCUCCAGGAGUGGAGGCUACACCCCACUGCCUUCAGGAGCCAUGGCCCCGGAAACACGAUUCCAGCAGCACAGGCCCCGGAUCCCAGGGCGCUGGGCAGAUACAGCCCAGGAUCCUGCACUCCCCUCCCA
rnacentral:lncRNA from 1 species